rnacentral:rRNA from 1 species
AUUGAACGCUGGCGGCAUGCCUUACACAUGCAAGUCGAACGGUAACAGGUCUUCGGCUGUUGACGAGUGGCGAACGGGUGAGUAAUACAUCGGAACGUGCCCGAUCGUGGGGGAUAACGAGGCGAAAGCUUUGCUAAUACCGCAUACGAUCUACGGAUGAAAGCGGGGGAUCUUCGGACCUCGCGCGGACGGAGCGGCCGAUGGCAGAUUAGGUAGUUGGUGGGAUAAAAGCUUACCAAGCCGACGAUCUGUAGCUGGUCUGAGAGGAUGAUCAGCCACACUGGGACUGAGACACGGCCCAGACUCCUACGGGAGGCAGCAGUGGGGAAUUUUGGACAAUGGGCGAAAGCCUGAUCCAGCCAUGCCGCGUGCAGGAUGAAGGCCUUCGGGUUGUAAACUGCUUUUGUACGGAACGAAAAGCCUCUUUCUAAUAAAGAGAGGUCAUGACGGUACCGUAAGAAUAAGCACCGGCUAACUACGUG